rnacentral:piRNA from 1 species
CCAGAGGGAGAAGCUUGU